GUGGCCGGUCCUCAAGUGCUGUUAACAGGUGCUCUGACUUCAUUGCACUACUGUAUUGGACAGCUAGCAGUGCAAUAGUAUUGUCAAAGCGUCUGAGAGCAGCUUUGCACGGUGUGUUUG
rnacentral:pre_miRNA from 8 species